rnacentral:rRNA from 1 species
UCAGGAUGAACGCUAGCUACAGGCUUAACACAUGCAAGUCGAGGGGCAGCGGGAUUGAAGCUUGCUUCAAUUGCCGGCGACCGGCGCACGGGUGAGUAACGCGUAUCCAACCUUCCGUACACUCAGGGAUAGCCUUUCGAAAGAAAGAUUAAUACCUGAUGGUAUGAUGAGAUUGCAUGAUAGCAUCAUUAAAGAUUUAUCGGUGUACGAUGGGGAUGCGUUCCAUUAGGUAGUAGGCGGGGUAACGGCCCACCUAGCCAACGAUGGAUAGGGGUUCUGAGAGGAAGGUCCCCCACAUUGGAACUGAGACACGGU